ensembl:rRNA 5S_rRNA 5S ribosomal RNA
GGAGCUUGUCCCACUUCACCCGGAACGCGCCCGAUCUCAUCUGAUCUCGGAAGCUAAGCAGGGUCCGGCCUGGUUAGUACUUGUAUGGGAGACCACUUCCCCAGCUGCGCACACUUCC